GCGGCAACAGCUCAAAUUUGAAAUCUGGUCCCCCCGCGGGGCCCGAGUUGUAAUUUGAAGAGGAUGCUUCUGGCAAGGUGCCGUCCGAGUUCCCUGGAACGGGACGCCGCAGAGGGUGAGAGCCCCGUACGGUCGGACGCCGAGCCUCUGUGAAGCUCCUUCGACGAGUCGAGUAGUUUGGGAAUGCUGCUCAAAAUGGGAGGUAAACCCCUUCUAAAGCUAAAUACCGGCCAGAGACCGAUAGCGCACAAGUAGAGUGAUCGAAAGAUGAAAAGCACUUUGAAAAGAGAGUUAAAAAGCACGUGAAAUUGUUGAAAGGGAAGCGCUUGCGACCAGACUCGCGCCCGUCGGAUCAGCCGUCGCUCGUCGGCGGCGCACUCCGGCGGGCUCGGGCCAGCAUCAGUUCGCCUCGGGGGGAGAAAGGCGGCGGGAAUGUGGCUCUACGGAGUGUUAUAGCCCGCCGCGUAAUACCCCCGGGCGGACUGAGGACCGCGCGUAUGCAAGGAUGCUGGCGUAAUGGUCGUCAGCGACCCGUCUU
rnacentral:rRNA from 1 species